UGGGGAAUAUUGGACAAUGGGGGCAACCCUGAUCCAGCCAUGCCGCGUGAGUGAUGACGGCCUUAGGGUUGUAAAGCUCUUUCGCUAGGGACGAUAAUGACGGUACCUAGACAAGAAGCCCCGGCUAACUUCGUGCCAGCAGCCGCGGUAAUACGAAGGGGGCUAGCGUUGUUCGGAAUUACUGGGCGUAAAGCGCGUGUAGGCGGGCUUUUAAGUCAGGGGUGAAAUGCCAAGGCUCAACCUUGGAACUGCCUUUGAUACUGGAAGUCUUGAGUCCGGGAGAGGUGAGUGGAACUGCGAGUGUAGAGGUGAAAUUCGUAGAUAUUCGCAAGAACACCAGUGGCGAAGGCGGCUCACUGGCCCGGAACUGACGCUGAGACGCGAAAGCGUGGGGAGCAAACAGGAUUAGAUACCCUGGUAGUCCACGCUGUAAACGAUGGAUGCUAGCCGUUGGGGAGCUUGCUCUUCAGUGGCGCAGCUAACGCUUUAAGCAUCCCGCCUGGGGAGUACGGUCGCAAGA
rnacentral:rRNA from 1 species